UGUGGCCUUUGAGGUUAGCGCUGGGUCGAAAUCACAUCCCAGCUCUGUAACCCCUUGGAGCUGGGGUUGCCCUUUUGGUAAAAUGGGGAGAGUAGUUCCAGAUUCAGAGUCCGGUCCAGCUUGAAGCUGAGCAUGGGAGAUGAUGAUCCGGUGUUUAAGACGCAGCCCGGAGACUGAAAGCAGCCUCUCCCUCGGCUUCGGUUUCGCACCACCUACAGAGAACGCAUCUGAAAAUCGUGUGGUUAGGAGGACCUGGGCCGACGGAAGUUAAACGGUAUUCGGUUUAUCAUCAACCCCAGGUUUUUCCAGCUGCGGAGUGAGUUCCCACCUGCCCUACAGUUAAAGCUGGAGCCUUGAACAGCAAAUGGAGUGCCUGACUGAAGUCUUGAGUUGUUUUUCCAGGAGCUGAGAAUCAGUGUGGUGAUAUCCAAAGAACCUGCCUGGGCUUGGAAUCUGAAGUGUUUUCCAGAGCCUGCAUGACACGUGAUAUCACAACAGAUUGAAUGCAAAAGCAGACGUAAGAAUCCAGAUGAUAGACUUGCAAAAAUAUGUCAGAUGCCAUAGUCCUCACUAACAUGGUUUUUGUUUUAGAAAAGUUAUAUCCACUGUGGGUUAUUUAUGUUAAUAUGUAAUGAGUU